UACGUAGGGUGCGAGCGUUGUCCGGAAUUAUUGGGCGUAAAGAGCUCGUAGGCGGCCUGUCACGUCGGAUGUGAAAACCCGGGGCUCAACCCCGGGCCUGCAUUCGAUACGGGCAGGCUAGAGUUCGGCAGGGGAGACUGGAAUUCCUGGUGUAGCGGUGAAAUGCGCAGAUAUCAGGAGGAACACCGGUGGCGAAGGCGGGUCUCUGGGCCGAUACUGACGCUGAGGAGCGAAAGCGUGGGGAGCGAACAGG
rnacentral:rRNA from 1 species